rnacentral:rRNA from 1 species
GACGAACGCUGGCGGCGUGCCUAAUACAUGCAAGUCGAGCGAAGUUUUUCUGGUGCUUGCACUAGAAAAACUUAGCGGCGAACGGGUGAGUAACACGUAAAGAACCUGCCUCAUAGACUGGGACAACUAUUGGAAACGAUAGCUAAUACCGGAUAACAGCAUUAACUGCAUGGUUGAUGUUUAAAAGUUGGUUAUGCUAACACUAUGAGAUGGCUUUGCGGUGCAUUAGCUAGUUGGUGGGGUAAAGGCCUACCAAGGCGACGAUGCAUAGCCGACCUGAGAGGGUGAUCGGCCACACUGGGACUGAGACACGGCCCAGACUCCUACGGGAGGCAGCAGUAGGGAAUCUUCCGCAAUGGGCGAAAGCCUGACGGAGCAACGCCGCGUGAGUGAAGAAGGAUUUCGGUUCGUAAAGCUCUGUUGUUAGGGAAGAAUGAUUGUGUAGUAACUAUACACAGUAGAGACGGUACCUAACCAGAAAGCCACGGCUAACUACGUGCCAGCAGCCGCGGUAAUACGUAGGUGGCAAGCGUUGUCCGGAAUUAUUGGGCGUAAAGCGCGCGCAGGUGGUUUAAUAAGUCUGAUGUGAAAGCCCACGGCUCAACCGUGAAGGGUCAUUGGAAACUGUUAAACUUGAGUGCAGGAGAGAAAAGUGGAAUUCCUAGUGUAGCGGUGAAAUGCUUAGAUAUCAUGACGAACUCCGGUUGCGCAGGCAGCUUACUGUAGCAUAACUGACGCUGAUGCUCGAAAGUGCGGGUAUCAAACAGG